rnacentral:rRNA from 1 species
GACGUAGGGCGCGAGCGUUGUCCGGAUUUAUUGGGCGUAAAGAGCUCGUAGGCGGCUUGUCGCGUCGUCCGUGAAAACUUGGGGCUCAACCCCCAAGCUUGCGGUCGAUACGGGCAGGCUAGAGUUCGGUAGGGGAGACGUGGAAUUCCUGGUGUAGCGGUGAAAUGCGCAGAUAUCAGGAGGAACACCGGUGGCGAAGGCGGGUCUCUGGGCCGAUACUGACGCUGAGGAGCGAAAGCGUGGGGAGCGAACAGG